rnacentral:rRNA from 1 species
ACACGACUACAUUAGAUACCCGGGUAGUCCUAGCCGUAAACGAUACUCGCUAGGUGUCGGCCACGGUGCGACCGUUGUCGGUGCCGUAGGGAAGCCGUGAAGCGAGCCACCUGGGAAGUACGGCCGCAAGGCUGAAACUUAAAGGAAUUGGCGGGGAGCACCACAACGGGUGGAGCUUGCGGUUUAAUUGGAUUCAACGCCGGAAAUCUUACCGGGACCGACAGCAACAUGAAGGCCAGGCUGAAGACUUUGCCGGAUUAGCUG